rnacentral:rRNA from 1 species
AGAGUUUGAUCCUGGCUCAGGAUGAACGCUAGCUACAGGCUUAACACAUGCAAGUCGAGGGGCAGCAUGUUGGUUGCUUGCAACCAAUGAUGGCGACCGGCGCACGGGUGAGUAACGCGUAUCCAACCUACCCUUGUCCAUCGGAUAACCCGUCGAAAGGCGGCCUAACACGAUAUGCGGUUCACAGCAGGCAUCUAAGGUGAACGAAAUGUGAAGGAGAAGGAUGGGGAUGCGUCUGAUUAGCUUGGUUGGCGGGGUAACGGCCCACCAAGGCUACGAUCAGUAGGGGUUCUGAGAGGAAGGUCCCCCACAUUGGAACUGAGACACGGUCCAAACGUCCUACGGGAGCCA